rnacentral:rRNA from 1 species
AACGAACGCUGGCGGCAGGCCUAACACAUGCAAGUCGAGCGAAGCCUUCGGGCUUAGCGGCGGACGGGUGAGUAACGCGUGGGAACGUGCCCUUUGGUACGGAAUAGCCCCGGGAAACUGGGAGUAAUACCGUAUGUGGUCGAGAGACGAAAGAUUUAUCGCCAAAGGAUAGGCCCGCGUUGGAUUAGGUAGUUGGUGGGGUAAUGGCCUACCAAGCCGACGAUCCAUAGCAGGUCUGAGAGGAUGAUCAGCCACACUGGGACUGAGACACGGCCCAGACUCCUACGGGAGGCAGCAGUGGGGAAUAUUGGACAAUGGGCGAAAGCCUGAUCCAGCAAUGCCGCGUGAGUGAAGAAGGCCUUCGGGUUGUAAAGCUCUUUUACCCAGGAAGAUAGUGACUGUACCGGGAGAAUAAGCCCCGGCUAACUCCGUGCCAGCCGCCGCAGUAACAC